CGCUGGCCUGACGAGUCCCAAACAGGACGAAACGCGCAUCCUAGAU
rnacentral:hammerhead_ribozyme from 1 species